AGCUGGCACACAGGGACACACAAGAAGGCAAAGGGGUGGUGGGGUGGCCUUCUGUGCCAGGGGAACAAACCGGAGCCGGGUCUGAGAUAAGCCGGUGGAGGGCAAUGCUCCGCCUACCCGGAGGGCCUUUGGGACAGGGUGGGCAGCCAUCUGGUUUGGAGGCAUUCCCUCGUAAGGGACCCAAAUCGCUCAGGCCCAUAUGAGCAGACAGGAGGGGUAUUUAUUCUCCGACAUCAGGGUAUGUGGAGGAGCCCAAGGGCAAUGGGACCUGGGGCUGGCCUCAGGAAGGGUCUGGAACCCAGAAGCGCUGCCCGUGGAAGGUAUUCCUCCCCUCCUGAAGACCAGCUCAGCCUGACGCCUGAGCUACAGAGCAAGGGCUGUGGCUACGAUCUGGAAGCAGAUGAGGCAGAGGCUGACCCCCACAGAGGGCGCAGAGGCAGGGCAGGUACCAGGGGCCUGCCUGGGACUACGUCUUGACCCAGAGAAGGGACAGCUGACUAUCAGGUGCUGGGAGAAGCUGACGGAACAGCACUAGGGGGAAGGAGCAAGAUGGCCUCUUUCUUCCCCUCCUAAUUUUUAGGGGAAACUUGAACACAGAAACAUACACACAGGGAGAGUCCUUUGUGAAUAUGAAGGCAGAGACUGGGGUGAUGCGAAUGUCCAAGACUGUCAGCAACCACCAGAAGCUGGGGGAGAGGCGGGAACAGAUGCUCUCUCACAGCCCUCAGAAGGAACCAACCCUGCCGACAUCUUGAUCUCGGACUCCAGCCUCCAGAACUUUGAGACACUGCCGCAGCUGCUCCAAGCAGGCCCCUAGCUGCUGGUGGCUCUGGCCCAGCUCUCCUGAGUCUCUUGUUCACCUGUGAAGACCCCGCUCCAUCCUGAGUCAUGGCUCAGCCUCCCCUGGCUGGGAUCUGUCUGCUUGAGCUAGCCCGUGGGUCUUUACCCACGCAGCUCCCUCCUCCCGAGUUCCUGACCUCCGCAUCCUCUGAGAGUCAAGUCUUCCAGGAGCCCUUCUCUGACCACCCCAGCCCACAGAGGCUUCUCAGAACUCCAGGCUUCAACUCUGGACCAAAUGAUUUGAGGCUGGACAGUCCCUGGCUUCCCACCAGCAGAGGGUGCUGUUUUGGUGGACAAGGAUGUGAACUGUGCUCACUGGAGUUGGGCUGUGUGGGGGCCCUGCUCCAAGCUGUCCCUCCUGGUCGUUCUCUUUUCCAUGGUGUCCUUAGGGCCACUCAACCUCAGAAUCCCCCAAGGACAGGGCCCAGGUUCCCCUGCUUCUCUGCUCCCUGGCACAGGUGGGCAUAGCCUGGCUCAUUUGGUACCCUGGGUUCCCUGCAGGACUGACCAUUUCCCUGUCUUGACCCACCUGGGUGAGCAUCAGCAGCCGUUCCUGCAGGAAGGUUGUAUCCUGAGCCUGUGCAGGGGUCUCAGCUACCGUCAUCGAGAAUCCAUCUGGGCCCUGAAGUGCCUGGGCCAUUGCCAUCCCAACUCUGCUCCUGGCCUUGCAGGCCUGGCACCAGGAUCUCCUGCAGGUACACUCAGUCUAGGGGGCUCCUCCUAAUCUUCAGACCACACUGUUAUGACCCUGAACAAGCUUUUCCCUAACCAUCUGGACUGUUUUCCCAUCUGAACCGUGAGAGGAGUCAGCUGGAUGAUCGCAGGGUCUUCCCAAAUGUUUGGGAGAGGGGCGUCCCUCUUGGGCGGAACAGAAGCCCCUGCACUGGCCUCCUUCCCCAGCUACUGCUCCAAGAAUGAAGACCUGGGAGUGAAGUGUAGGGAGGGCCGAAUGCGCAGGAGGGCCAGUGUUCAGGGCCCUGUCAUGCACCCACGUGGAUGGGGGGCGCUGGUCAUCCCUACCUCAGGGGGCCCCAGGCUGAGCUCUGGGCCAAGAGACUGUCGGCCCAUCUGGUCCAAACACUGCUGGGCCUUCUCCACUUCUGUCUGCAGUAAGUAGCAGGAUCAUGGGGGCAGAAGGGACUGUCUGCCCGUCCUCUGCCACUCUGCCCCUCCCCCAUCUCUAAGCACCCUCACUUGUCUUCUGCGUCCUGGUCUGGCCUCCUCCACUCCUUCUGUCUCUGGGAACCCCACAGCCUCUCCUGCUCCAGGCGGGCCACAGAGCAUUUCACCUGCUGGGGGGAGGGCUGAAGGUAGCACAAGCCCCUGGAGAGGGCUGGCCCAGCCUCACGACACACAUCCCCCACCCCCCGCAGGGCAGCGUCUGCAGCCCCUGAUAAAGCAGGCUCACUCCACAAGGCCCUGCCUGCUCCACCAGCUGUGAUAAGCCCAGCUGGGGGCCCAGCAUGGACCUGGAGCUGCACAGCUAUUAUCACUACUGGCUCUAGAUGUAAAACCCUCCACCUCCAGCUGGACACAAGACACAUCACCUUCUCCAGCCCAGCUCCUGAUGGCUUUGGAGCUCCAGCAAGAGUACAGGGGCUGGGGCUUCCCUGGUGGCGCAGUGGUUAAGAAUCCUCCUGCCAAUGCAGGGGACACAGGUUCGAGCCCUGGUCUGGGAAGAUUCCACAUGUCGUGGAGUAACUAAGCCCAUGUGCCACAACUACUGAAGCCCGCGUGCCUAGAGCCCAUGCUCUGCAGCAAGAGAAGCCACCACAGUGAGAAGUCGGCGCACUGCAACGAAGAGUAGCCCCUGCUCGGUGCAACUAGAGAAAGCCCGCCGGUGGCAACGAAGACCCAACACAGCCAAAAAUAAAUAAAUAUAUUUUAAAAAAAAUAAACAAAAAAAAAGAGUACAGGGGCUGCUGCUGUGGAAUGCUGGAGAGUGGGCAGGCAUGUCAACUGGGUUCCCGGGGUCCUCCCUGGCUGGUAGGGAGCAGUGGCUCUAGGAGGGUCAGCUGUGGGCUGAGACCACCAGGUCACAUAAAGGCUUAGGUAUCUAGGCCAUCACAGGGUGGCACUGUCCACACUCUCACAUGUGGCAGGGAUGCUGGGUACCUCCCCUAGAAGCCUCAGUGUGUAUAACCCUCCCUCCCUCUCUGGGGACUGAAGCUUCACCAGGGGUGAUUGGGCUUCUGAGGAAACUCCUCUGUCCACUGAGCUGAAACCAGCCACCUCCUUCCCUCUUAUUCUACCUGGGAGGGGAAGGGCAGAGGUUCCCUGGUCCUUCCUUUGCCUCUAUCCACUGCUCCCAGCCACACCAGGCAAUGCACUGCACACCUCCAGGGGGUGCCAUUCACAGAGAUGACACUUUCAACAUGGUAGCCCUGUUGGGGACUCACGGGGAGAGGACCAGAGCCUCACUUUCUGCUUCGGAGCCAGCAGCUCACACUGGGUCCUGCCGAGUCCCAGCCUGCGUCCCUGCUUCUGCAGCACCUGUGCUUGCGCAGACAGGGCCUCCAGGGCUGCCCGCAGGCAGCCAGCCAGCUCAGCCCGCUGCUACCUGCUCUCUGCCAACCACACCCGCAGGUUCUUCUCUGACCACUCCCAGCUUCCCUCAGGGGCCCCGUCAGAGCACCUGCCAGGAAAAGGGCAGUCAGGCUUCGGCCCAGGCCCCAGGGACUGCCAUGCCCAGCUUCCCCACACUCACCUGCAUC